rnacentral:rRNA from 1 species
UGAAUACGAGAUGCUAAGGCGUCGAAGUAGUGUAUGUCAUACUUCCAAGAAAAGCUUACACUGUCAUAAAUAGAAAAUGCCUGUACCAUAACCGACACAGGUGGGUAAGUAGAGUAUACUAAGGGGCGCGAGAUAACUCUCUCUAAGGAACUCGGCAAAAUAACUCCGUAACUUCGGGAGAAGGAGUGCCUUAUUCUUAAGGUUGCAAUAACAAGAUCCAAGCAACUGUUUAUCAAAAACACAGGUCUCCGCUAAGUCGUAAGACGAUGUAUGGGGGCUGACGCCUGCCCAGUGCCAGAAGGUUAAAGAAGUUGGUUAGCAAUUGCGAAGCUGGUAACUGAAGCCCUGGUGAACGGCGGCCGUAACUAUAACGGUCCUAAGGUAGCGAAAUUCCUUGUCGGGUAAGUUCCGACCCGCACGAAAGGCGUAAUGAUUUGGAUGCUGUCUCGGAGAGGGGCUCGGUGAAAUAGACUUGUCUGUGAAGAUGCGGACUACCUGCACCAGGACAGAAAGACCCUAUGAAGCUUUACUGUAACUUGAAAUUGAAAUUGGACUUUAUUUGCGCAGUAUAGGUGGGAGGCGUUGAUUAUAAUCUUGCGGGAUUAUUGGGGCCAUCAGUGAGAUACCACUCUUGUAAUGUUAGAUUUCUAACUUUGAAUCAUUAUCUGGUCAAAGGACAAUUUCAGGCGGGCAGUUUGACUGGGGCGGUCGCCUCCUAAAUGGUAACGGAGGCGUACAAAGGUUUCCUCUGAACGGUUAGAAAUCGUAUCUAGAGUGUAAAGGCAUAAGGAAGCUUGACUGUGAGACCUACAAGUCGAGCAGGGACGAAAGUCGGUCUUAGUGAUCUGACGGUACUGAGUGGAAAGGCCGUCACUCAACGGAUAAAAGUUACUCUAGGAUAACAGGCUGAUCUCCCCCAAGAGUUCACAUCGACGGGGAGGUUUGGCACCUCGAUGUCGGCUCAUCGCAUCCUGGGGCGGUAGUACGUCCCAAGGGUUGGGCUGUACGCCCAUGAAAGCGGUACGCGAGCUGGGUUCAGAACGUCGUGAGACAGUUCGGUCCAUAUCCGGUGUAGGCGUUAGAAUAUUGAGAGGAGCCUUCUUUAGUACGAGAGGACCGAGAAGGACAUACCUCUGGUGUACCAGUUAUCGUGCCAACGGUAAACGCUGGGUAGCUAUGUAUGGAGUGGAUAACCGCUGAAAGCAUCUAAGUGGGAAGCCCACCUCAAGAUAAGUA